UCUGGUUGAUCCUGCCAGUAGUUAUAUGCUUGUCUCAAAGAUUAAGCCAUGCAUGUCUAAGUACAAGCAAAAAUAAAGUGAAACCGCAAAAGGCUCAUUAUAUCAGUUAUGGUUCCUUAGAUCGUAUCCACAAUUACUUGGAUAACUGUGGUAAUUCUAGAGCUAAUACAUGCAUUUAAAGAGAGACCGGUAAAACGGAAUCUCUGCUUUUAUUAGAUUUAAACCAAUGGGGAGUGCUUCGGCAUUCUCAAUACAAAUGGUUGAACUCUGGAUAAUUUGUUGAUCGCAUGGUCUUGCACCGGCGACGGAUCUUUCAAAUGUCUGCCCUAUCAACUAUUGAAGGUAGUGUCUUGGACUACCUUGGUUGCAACGGGUAACGGGGAAUCAGGGUUCGAUUCCGGAGAGGGAGCCUGAGAAACGGCUACCACAUCUAAGGAAGGCAGCAGGCGCGUAAAUUACCCACUCCCAGCACGGGGAGGUAGUGACGAAAAAUAACAAUACAAGACUCACAUCCGAGGCCUUGUAAUUGGAAUGAGUACACUUUAAAUCCUUUAACAAGGAUCAAUUGGAGGGCAAGUCUGGUGCCAGCAGCCGCGGUAAUUCCAGCUCCAAUAGCGUAUAUUAAAGUUGUUGCGGUUAAAACGUUCGUAGUUGAACUUGUGUUUCGCACGGGCAUUUACCAAACGCCAGUUUACUGGUCUGGUAACCUGUCUUAUCUUGUCUUGGCUUUAGUCUUGGCAAAAGUGCGUGGACGUAUUAUCGGCGUGUUCGUCCCUGUGGCGUUCACAUAAGCUCAUUUCAGUUAUCUUCAUCGAUUGUUGUUGUGAGCCGAUACAAAUUACUUUGAACAAAUUAGAGUGCUUAAAGCAGGCUUGUAAUGCCUGAAUAUUUUGUGCAUGGAAUAAUGAAAUAGGACAUCUGUUCUACUUUCAUUGGUUUUUUAGACCAAGAUGUAAUGAUUAAUGGAAGCAGUUGGGGGCAUUAGUAUUACAACGCGAGAGGUGAAAUUCUUAGACCGUUGUAAGACUGACUAAAGCGAAAGCAUUUGCCAAAGAUGUUUUCAUUUAAUCAAGAACGAAAGUUA
rnacentral:rRNA from 1 species